ACGGGAUCCUGAUCUGGGAAUGGGAUCCAGCCCUGGGAAUGGGAUCAGGGAUUUGGGGUCAGACACUGCACUAAACUCCGGGGUUUGAGUCCCAGCCCAGGCUGAACUCCAGGAUUUCAGCUGCGAAUCCCUGGCCCUGCUCCAGAGCAGCUCCGCACCUGCCGAGCCCAGCGGAAAAGGCUUUCCUUGCUCCCCAGAGGCGUUUCCAGGAUGAAAUCCCCUGGCCAAACAUGAGUGUUUUUAUUCCCUUUGUGGGAGAGGGAGGGGAAGGAACAGCCGGAAAACCUUUCAUUUCCAGAGGCGUCCAAGCCAAACAGGGAGCUCAGGACGAGGAGGAGGAGGAGGAGGGUGCGGAGGGUGAGGUUUGUGCCCGUCAGCCCCGGGAGAAGUGGGGAUAAGGAUGGGAUGUGGGGAAAAAUCCCAGCCCAGAUCCUGGAUUGAGCUCAGGAUUGGCCCAGGGAAUUCAGGCCUGCUUCAUCCCCACAAGGCUCCAGCCUGGGAUAGGGGAAAGAGUCCCUGGAAAUGUUCCUGGAAAGCUUCUCCCCUCCCUGGGAAUGGGAUCCUGAUCUGGGAAUGGGAUCCUGAUCUAGGAAUUGGAUCAUUAUCUGGGAAUGGGAUUCUGUCCUGGGAAUAGGAUCCCAUUCUCCAGAGAGGUUCCUUUUUUCCAAACAGGGUCCCAUUCCCAGGACAGGAUCCCAUUCCCAGAUCACGAUCCCGUUCCCAGCACUGGAUCCCAUUCCCUUUCUCCUCCUUUGAGAUCCUGCUCCAGCCGCAGCACUUCUGGGAGACUCAAACAGUCCCAUGGAAAACUGGACUGGCUGGAAGAGCUGGGAAUAUCCCUCAGGCAGCUCUGGGUGGGAAGGCAGGGCUGGAGGGGGCGUGGACCUCUCUCCAAAGUUUUUCCUUUGGAAAUGUGUCCCAAAAAACUCUGGAUGAGAAGAAUUUUUGGGAGCACCGUGCCUGGUGGGUGCCUCUUGGAAAUCCUGGAAUCAACAUUAGGAAAAGCCCUCGGUGGGAACAAGAACUGGGAGGAUCUGGCUCCAGAGGCAUCCAGUGGGAAAAUCCCGGGAGUCUCUCUUGUGCUUGUGUCCUUGCUGUCCCUGGCAGCUCCUGGAGCGGAAGGAGAACCAGACUCCCCCGGGAUAAUCCCAGGGAUGCGGCUCUCCCUGGAGUAAAGGGGACCUCAGCUGGGAGACCCAGAGGGGAAAAAAAUGGGAAUUUCAGCUGGAAUGUUUCCAUUGUGAAAUCCCCAGCACGGAGGGAAGGUUUGGGUCCCAGCGUUAACGAGGAGUGAAUUUUAUGCUGCCGCUGAAAUCCCUUCCCUCUGGAUUGAAGGAAAAACCGGAUCUUUCUCACCUAAAAAAGCCAUUUCUACCCUGAGGUGCAGCAGCCACUCAAGAAUUCCAGGUGCCCUCAGCUCCAAACCUCAUCCAGCGUGGAUUUGGGCACUUCCAGGGAUGGAGCAGCCACAGAUUCCCUGGGAAUUCCCAGAGCAAUCAAAUUUGCAAUUAAUUGAAUGCAAUUAAUUUAUUGUUAUUAAAAUUUGGGGCUUUUUUUUUGUUA